rnacentral:lncRNA from 1 species
AAGCCGAGGAGGGGAGCCUGCAGUGAGGGCGUCCUGGGGUUCUCCGGUUCUCACCACCCUUGGGCCACGCCGUCUAGUCCACACCUGAGGAGUUGGUCAGGGGAAGGAGGAGGUGCUCUUCGAGCUGUUGGUGUCCAGGGCACUGGGAAUCGCAGCCUUCCAGCCCUCGAAAUCGGUGACGUCUGCCACGAAGAGCCCUU